rnacentral:misc_RNA from 1 species
GAGCGAGCCAUUCUUCUAUGGAAGAUUAAAAAGAUACUAAACUACAAGGUUUAAGCUGACAAUGGCUUUGAGUUUCUUUUCUUUUUUCUGUAUAAUUUAGUGAUUUCUUGUAAACUUGCAGCAAGUGUUAGUGACAUCACCAUUUGUUGGAAAUAUAAUCAUAUCACGGGGUGUGAAAUGGUAUCAUUAUUUUCCUUAUUGGAUAAAUUCCUUAAGAAGUGUUGGCAAAAUUAAAUGCUAUUUAUAGUUUUACUGAAUAUUCAUAAUCAUGAACGCGGAAAAAAAUAGAAAUGCGGAGAUUUGAAAAUCUCCUUUUUCUCCAAUCAUUAGCAUCUUCCUUUUAUACUUUCUAUACUUUCUGAUAUUUUGCUAGAUCAUCAUGGUGAUUAUAUAAUUUCCUUUCAGAAAGACGAACAGGGAUCUGUU